AACUACAACGUGAGUCAAUGGGUAUAUAAAGAACGAGAGACACCGAGGUCGGGAUUCACGAAUUGGAAAAGAACCCGCAACAUUGAGUCACUGUGAAAUUUCUGAUACAAGAAAAGACAGUAAGGAAAUCACCAUGAAAGGAAGUGGUUCACUCGUAACUAUAUGCCUUCUCGUUUUGAUCACAGGUUUUCACCAGAUACAAGCCGAAACCUGCCCCACCUAUGUUGCGUGCCAACGUUUUUGCAACAGCUAAAUGUGAAUAUUUUCCGAGAGCAAGAUGUGUUGAGGCCACAUGUGGGUGCGGUAUUGACUUUUUUGUAGGUGAUAUACGUGUGACGGCAUACUGCUCGAUCCCAAUAUUUAGAUAUUAUGGAUAUAAUAAAUAAUCUUCUUGAAUUUAGUUCAUGAAUCAUAUCUCAUUAUUA